AGGAGUACAUAUCUGGGAACCCUAUGCAGAUGCGGAUUGAUUUUCUCCAUUCGAUUCUAUGUUUACGGGUCACAGUAACCUGAAUGGGCCUACGUCCAGGUACUGUCCCUUGGGCUCCCGAAAAGCCACUGGCCGGCUGGGUCCCGUUUCCCAGUUUGUGGAAUCCCGGGACGCGGCAUGUGGAGCCCCGCCUCCUGGAGCUCGAGGGCAGAGCCGCCUCGGCUGGGCAGUCUGGCGGGAAAGGAAAUUCAACCCCUAAGGAGAAGAUUCACCACACGCAUGGCAGGGAUUUUGCGCUCAAUAGUUCAGAGGCCCCCAGGCAGACUACAAAUGGUGACAAAAGGUGUGGAGCCCCUUGUUUGUACAGAUUGGAUUCGUCACAAAUUUACGAAGUCAAGAAUUCCAGAUAAAGUUUUUCAGCCUUCACCUGAAGAUCAUGAAAAAUAUGGUGGAGAUCCACAGCAACCUCAUAAACUGCAUAUUGUGACCAGAAUAAAAAGUACAAAAAGACGUCCGUAUUGGGAGAAAGAUAUAAUAAAGAUGCUUGGGUUACAAAAAGCACAUACUCCUCAAGUUCACAAGAAUAUCCCUUCGGUGAAUGCAAAACUGAAAGUGGUUAAACAUUUGAUAAGAAUCAAGCCCCUGAAGCUGCCACAAGGUCUCCCAACAGAGGAGGACAUGUCCAGUACGUGCCUCAAGAGCACUGGAGAGCUGGUGGUGGGGUGGCUUCAGAACCCCACGGACCAGGAAGUGAAUAAGUCCUGAUGGCCUCGUGGCUUCAGAGUAAAAAGUGCAAGUCAUUUCUAUUUAAAGAUGCUGGUCAGUGUAUCCUGUCCAGAGACUUCAACGCUGCUGUGCCGCCGUUGGCACAUCAGAUGACUCAACAACUCAUCCUACAACUAGCCCUAGUCCAGCAAAGACUGUGCCCUGUGGACAUCCUCCUGGUUUUAACUGACAAAAUCUUGACCAGUGAAAAUCUGGACGUCGUGGAUUAAUGCCUUGUGGUGUGACUUUGUCCGCCCUUGGCUGAAGAGGAGCAUUAGAGAAGAGCAGCUCUGACCGCCAGGAGGAGCCGGCCUGGAAAGCCCUGGCGUGUCUAGGAGCCGGCCCAGCACUGACAGGUGUUUCCUAUUGAACGUCAGCAGUUUCACAGGUCACCGACAUCAGCUGAAGCUGCUCUGUGACUGAUGGAUCAAGGCGAAAACAAGCUCACUCCGUGAUCACAUCUGAGCGCAGACGAAAACACAAGCAUUGUUCAAGCCGGAGAAAUGAGGCGCAUCCCCUACUCCGGGUCAUGUAGGGCUGCUCCUCGUCACACAGCUCUAGCCUCGCUUCAUUCCUCUCACCUUCUAGAUGAGAUUCAUGAAGACACCAAUCAUAGAGCCAUCUCUCUUCUCCUGACAGCAUCCAAUCCAGAGCAGACCGUGCUGCUUUGAACACUCAUCAAAAUCAUCUAAUAAGAGCCCAGAUCCUUUAAAGUCCUUCCCAAAGGACUUUUCCUGAGAUGCGAUAAAGGGAACUUAUCCAGCUCUAGGUGUGUCUGGUGGUCUGUGGCCAGCCUGCGCUCCCGAUACUAAUUCUUGUGGCUCUCGGGUCUAAGCUGCUAAGGAUCAUUCAACUCAGCCUCGACUUCCUUAGAGUAUCUCUUUGCUGCUUCCUUCACCACAGGUAAGCCAGUCUGCUGGUUUCCCAGCCUGGAGAGCUUGCCAGAAAAAAAAACUCAAGUGGCGCCAGUCCUGCUUUCUCUUCUGUGCAGGAGGUCCGUCGCUUCCCUGCUUUCUGUGUUCCUUUUUCCCAGGAAGGCUGGUACAGUUCCAGGGCCUCAGGACAGCUUGGCCUGACAUCUCAGGGGACUCUCUAGGGAAGAGAAUGUGGGAUAAAGCCUUGGGGAUGAGAAAUGGGGUGCGGGAGGCAGGACAGGAGAAACCGUCAGUUGCCGCUACCCCUGCCAGGACACCUUGCCCCUGUUCCGCCCUGACUGAGGCUUGUACCCUGUCCCCUGCAGCCCCAGGGAGUCCCGGGCAAGCUCCUUGAAAACGGCAACUGUCAGCAAUUGUGUGUCGUUAUCCUGGCUGUGAGGUGUUUUCAUAUAUGUACAUAUAGUUGUCUUCCAAAGCUGGCAUUCUGCUAUUUGGGGAGCUUGGAGAAGAUACUGCAUCCUCUGUGCCCACUUCAGCGUUCAUGGUCCUCUUUCUGAGCCCCCAUAACCCCAGCCUCCACCUUCUCAGAGGGCACUACAAGGUCUCCCAGCCUCCGCCGGAGCGCCUUCCACAGGCCCGUUUCCCUUCGCUGCAGCCGUCCAGGCUCCCGGCAGGUCUCCCUCACUGUCUCUCUCCUCACCGGCGGGCCCUGCCCCCCACCACACUUAUCCACCGCCUCACUGGCUCUCGUUCUGCCGCCGGGGCCCUCUCUGCCAAGGCCCCUCCAUUCUCACUGUCAUUCCCACCCCCACAGCUGGCCUUACCACUUUGCUCCGGAGUCCCCUGGCCACUGUGUCCUCAUAAUCGUCACUUGUCCUCUUUCACUCCCACUCAUCCGCACCAGCUUCUUCGUCUUAGCCACCAGGGUCUUCUCUGUGCUUAGACCCCCCUCCUCCCCACUUCCCCCUUGUUCACCAUCAGCCUCGGGCUUCCUUCUGACACAGGAGCCCUUCUGGCCCCUGGACCACAGUCCUAGUGGACCAUCUCCCCAGCUCCCACCAGAGCACGCUCUUGUUCCCCAACUAGACACCACUUUGUCUCUGGGGGUCUAUUCUGUAACCCCAUGUUCAUAGCAGCAUUAUUUAACAAUAGCCAAGACAUGGAAACGACCUGUCUAUCAAUGGAUGAAUGGAUAAACCAAAUGUAGCAUAGAUAUACAUACACAUAUA